UACGUAGGGUGCGAGCGUUGUCCGGAAUUAUUGGGCGUAAAGAGCUCGUAGGCGGUCUGUCGCGUCGGUCGUGAAAACUUGGGGCUUAACCCUGAGCUUGCGGUCGAUACGGGCAUGACUGGAGUUCGGCAGGGGAGACUGGAAUUCCUGGUGUAGCGGUGAAAUGCGUAGAGAUCCGGAAGAACACCGGUGGCGAAGGCGGCCUGCUGGGCUGUGGCUGACGCUGAGGCGCGACAGCGUGGGGAGCAAACAGG
rnacentral:rRNA from 1 species